CCGUAUAUAUACUGAAAGUGGAGUGGUAAUAGUUGAACUUUUUUCUUCCCCUUGUAGUAACACAGACGUCGGUAGCAGGAGAAAGUAUGUGACUUGGUUGAGUCAACCAAGAAAUAUGGUGGUACAAUGCACAUAUUUCCUUCGAUGCAUGUCUCCGGCGACCCUGAGUAUAAAUACUGCUAUCAUUUCUUACUGCACACUCUUUAUUCAGAGGUGCUCUGAAUUAGAACUCCCCAUUGGCAUAUCUGCAGUUCCAUGCUAUACAUCCCCCAAAUGACGAAAAUUAAGUUCAGGGGCAUGUUUUUUUGUAUAUGCUUGACUUAACUGGAGCUUAAAUUUGUCAUUUGUUUAAUUACCAAUCUGGUUUAUUCUUGACUCUUGAUUGCAGCCGCUGGAACUGAUGGAUAUUGACAUGGGUAACAAAAUAGUUGAAAGAUUUUGUACCGACGAGGCUCUUGAGACUACAAACAUUUCUUCACUCCUUGUACGAAAGGAUUCUAGGACUAAGUUAUAGGAUUUUAUAUUUUAGUCGGAUAUUCGUUCUGUUAAUAUGUGCUCCUGUGCAAUUUUUCAUAGGCUUCUCUUUCCUUUUUCUGGUUACGAUUUACAAAGCUGAGCAAUAGUUUCUCUACUAAUAUAGCUUGUGUGAAAAACAUCCGUCUUUAGGAUGCUUUUGCGGCAUGUGUAACUGCCUCACAUUAGCCUAUGCUUCUAUCCGAGUUGUUUACUACUAAGACCAUAAUGGAUCAUGCUUUUUAACUGGCAUAUAAGUGUUGAUGGAAAAUGAUGUCUUAUUUUUUGCCUGGUAAAUUUUAAUUGGCGCAUGCAAUCCAUGCUUCCCAGUCUUUGGUGACAAUGUUGUCAGGCCUAAAAAUAGAAGUUUUCGAUUUCCUCUCUCUGGUUUUUAGUUGGUUAGAUGUUAAUGCGUGGAAAUGUAUAUGCUGAUUUUUUUUCCUGUUUUAAUAAAUUGCUAAUAUGUGGAUCUUGUCUGCUUUGCAUGGACUAUAGUAUAUAUUCACAGACUUUGUCUGCUUGCUUCAAAACUAAAAUGUGACUUUUACUUGCCUAUUACCAAAGAAGAUUUCAUGCAUGCCACAUCAAGUCGCCAUAGAUGCCUCCAAGUGAAAUUUCAGCGACGACAAGAUUUGGCAUCAUAUUGCCCAGUAACUGAAUAUGCACGCAGGAGGAUCACUCUGGAUGAUGGAAAAUGCAUUAUCCGUGUACUUUUCCACUCACUUCACACAAGAAUAUCUCAAGGGGCACAUGCAUGAAGAGCAUACUAAUUUCCUGAUCAAAGCUGGAAACAGACCUGCCAUCGUCAUUGCUCGGCUUAUCAUACAAUCACAAGAAGCUGGACUCAGUUCUUUGACAUCGCAAAUAUGAAAGGAGGAGUGUCAUAUGCAUUUGCCUUUGAGGAAUUGGCGGGAGAACUCAUAUCAUCGUGCACUCCCUUUGAUA